AGAGUUUGAUCCUGGCUCAGGAUGAACGCUGGCGGCGUGCUUAACACAUGCAAGUCGAACGAUCCUUCGGGAUAGUGGCGGACGGGUGAGUAACGCGUGGGAAUCUGCCCUCAGGAGGGGGAUAACGGCUGGAAACGGCCGCUAAUACCCCAUAUGCCGAGAGGUGAAAUGAAUUUCGCCUGAGGAUGAGCCCGCGUCUGAUUAGCUAGUUGGUGGAGUAAAGGCCUACCAAGGCGACGAUCAGUAGCUGGUCUGAGAGGAUGAUCAGCCACACUGGGACUGAGACACGGCCCAGACUCCUACGGGAGGCAGCAGUGGGGAAUUUUCCGCAAUGGGCGAAAGCCUGACGGAGCAACGCCGCGUGAGGGAUGAAGGCCUCUGGGCUGUAAACCUCUUUUCUCAAGGAAGAAGAACUGACGGUACUUGAGGAAUAAGCCACGGCUAAUUCCGUGCCAGCAGCCGCGGUAAUACGGGAGUGGCAAGCGUUAUCCGGAAUUAUUGGGCGUAAAGCGUCCGCAGGCGGCCUUGUAAGUCUGUUGUUAAAGCGUGGAGCUCAACUCCAUUUAAGCAAUGGAAACUACAAGGCUGGAGUGUGGUAGGGGCAGAGGGAAUUCCCGGUGUAGCGGUGAAAUGCGUAGAUAUCGGGAAGAACACCAGUGGCGAAGGCGCUCUGCUGGGCCAUAACUGACGCUCAUGGACGAAAGCCAGGGGAGCGAAAGGGAUUAGAUACCCCUGUAGUCCUGGCCGUAAACGAUGAACACUAGGUGUCGGGGGAAUCGACCCCCUCGGUGUCGUAGCCAACGCGUUAAGUGUUCCGCCUGGGGAGUACGCACGCAAGUGUGAAACUCAAAGGAAUUGACGGGGGCCCGCACAAGCGGUGGAGUAUGUGGUUUAAUUCGAUGCAACGCGAAGAACCUUACCAGGGUUUGACAUCCUGCGAAUCCCUUGGAAACGAGGGAGUGCCUUCGGGAGCGCAGUGACAGGUGGUGCAUGGCUGUCGUCAGCCCGUGUCGUGAGAUGUUGGGUUAAGUCCCGCAACGAGCGCAACCCACGUCUUUAGUUGCCAGCAUUCAGUUGGGCACUCUAGAGAGACCGCCGGUGAUAAACCGGAGGAAGGUGUGGAUGACGUCAAGUCAUCAUGCCCCUUACAUCCUGGGCUACACACGUACUACAAUGCUACGGACAAAGGGCAGCAAGCUCGCGAGAGUUAGCAAAUCCCAUAAACCGUGGCUCAGUUCAGAUCGUAGGCUGCAACUCGCCUACGUGAAGGAGGAAUCGCUAGUAAUCGCAGGUCAGCAUACUGCGGUGAAUACGUUCCCGGGCCUUGUACACACCGCCCGUCACACCAUGGAAGUUGGCCAUGCCCGAAGUCGUUACUCCAACCCUUGUA
rnacentral:rRNA from 1 species